GUGUCAGCCGCCGCGGUAAGACAGAGGAGCCAAGCGUUGUCCGGACUGACUGGGCGUAAAGCGCACGCAGGCGGCGCUGUGCGUGGGGUGUGAAAGCUCUUGGCUUAACUGAGAGAGGCCAUCCCAUACGGCAGCGCUCGAGCGGUGCAGAGGUCCGCGGAAUUGCCGGUGUAGUGGUGAAAUGCGUAGAGAUCGGCAGGAACACCCAGGGGGAAACCAGCGGACUGGGCAUCGGCUGACGCUCAGGUGCGACAGCGUGGGGAGCGAACCGGAUUAGAUACCCUGGUAGUCC
rnacentral:rRNA from 1 species